GAUGAACGCUGGCGGCGUGCCUAACACAUGCAAGUCGAACGGAGUUAUUUUGGAAAGUCCUUCGGGGCUGGAAUUUAUAACUUAGUGGCGGACGGGUGAGUAACGCGUGAGCAAUCUGCCUCAGAGUGGGGGAUAACAGUCGGAAACGACUGCUAAUACCGCAUAAUGCAUCGAGAUCGCAUGGUUUUGAUGCCAAAGGCUUGUCUGCUCUGAGAUGAGCUCGCGUCUGAUUAGCUAGUUGGCGGGUAACGGCCCACCAAGGCGACGAUCAGUAGCCGGAUGAGAGGUUGAACGGCCACAUUGGGACUGAGACACGGGCCCAGACUCCUACGGGAGGCAGCAGUGGGGAAUAUUGCGCAAGUGGGGCAACCCUGACGCAGCAACGCCGCGUGAUCGAAGAA
rnacentral:rRNA from 1 species